GACGAACGCUGGCGGCGUGCCUAAUACAUGCAAGUUGAGCGCUGAAGGUUGGUACUUGUACCAACUGGAUGAGCAGCGAACGGGUGAGUAACGCGUGGGGAAUCUGCCUUUGAGCGGGGGACAACAUUUGGAGACGAAUGCUAAUACCGCAUAAAAACUUUAAACACAAGUUUUAAGUUUGAAAGAUGCAAUUGCAUCACUCAAAGAUGAUCCCGCGUUGUAUUAGCUAGUUGGUGAGGUAAAGGCUCACCAAGGCGAUGAUACAUAGCCGACCUGAGAGGGUGAUCGGCCACAUUGGGACUGAGACACGGCCCAAACUCCUACGGGAGGCAGCAGUAGGGAAUCUUCGGCAAUGGGCGAAAGUCUGACCGAGCAACGCCGCGUGAGUGAAGAAGGUUUUCGGAUCGUAAAACUCUGUUGGUAGAGAAGAACGUUGGUGAGAGUGGAAAGCUCAUCAAGUGACGGUAACUACCCAGAAAGGGACGGCUAACUACGUG
rnacentral:rRNA from 1 species